rnacentral:rRNA from 1 species
GCGCGAAACCUCCGCAAUGUGAGAAAUCGCGACGGGGGGAUCCCAAGUGCCAUUCUUAACGGGAUGGCUUUUCAUUAGUGUAAAGAGCUUUUGGAAUAAGAGCUGGGCAAGACCGGUGCCAGCCGCCGCGGUAACACCGGCAGCUCUAGUGGUAGCAGUUUUUUAUUGGGCCUAAAGCGUCCGUAGCCGGUUUAAUAAGUCUCUGGUGAAAUCCUGCAGCUUAACUGUGGGAAUUGCUGGAGAUACUAUUAGACUUGAGAUCGGGAGAGGUUAGAGGUACUCCCAGGGUAGAGGUGAAAUUCUGUAAUCCUGGGAGACCGCCUGUUGCGAAGGCGUCUGACUGGAACGAUUCUGACGGUGAGGGACAAAGCUAGGGGCGCGAACCGGAUUAGAUACCCGGGUAGUCCUAGCUGUAAACGAUGCGGACUUGGUGUUGGGGUGGCUUUGAGCUGUCCCAGUGCCGAAGGGAAGCUGUUAAGUCCGCCGCCUGGGGAAGUACGGUCGCAAGACUAGAAACCUUAAAGGAAGUUGGGCGGGGGUAGCAACC